UUGUUUCGCGAUUGUUGGGUUCUCUGUUUGCUGGGUGUUGGUCUGGUUUUGAUUGCACGACCUAGAAAUCAAAAUUGAUGGUGGCGGUGAUGGUGUGCGACGGCGGCCUAGCUGUUAACGGCGGCGGCUAGGAUUAGGGUUUCUGGAAAAGAGUUGAGGGAGAUGCUGACGUGGAAGGGGUGGUGAUGUGGCAGCAAGUCACUGGCUGAAUCUGUGUACGGUGGAUUGGCGACACGUGGCAACAUCUGAAGGAGUAUGGCUUAAUUAGUGGUAGGAGAGUUAGGAAUAGGAAACUUAUGGGGUGUAGGAGAAAAGGCUUAGUGUUUGGGCUUGGUUGUUGGCCUGUUUCAGAAUUAGGAGUGUAUAUUGUAAAAACAAGGGUGUAUUCAACUCUUUUUAUUGAAUAAACCAAUUCCCUUUUCUAAAAUUCUGAUUUUGGGCCUUGAAUUGUAAUUUGGACCAAUAAAGCUUAUAUUUCAGCUGCGCAAAUAAACAUUAGAACAUCCAAGAAUAAUUUAUGUGUUAAAACUCACAUUUUACGCCUCUAUAAUUUCCAAACCCAUC
rnacentral:lncRNA from 1 species